UACGUAGGGUGCAAGCGUUACUCGGAAUUACUGGGCGUAAAGCGUGCGCAGGCGGUUUUGUAAGUCGCCUGUGAAAGCCCCCGGCUCAACUGGGGAGGGUCACGCGAUACUGUUCGACUUGAAGGCAGGAGAGGGAAGUGGAAUUCCCGGUGUAGUGGUGAAAUGCGUAGAUAUCGGGAGGAACACCAGUGGCGAAGGCGACUUUCUGGCCUGUUCUUGACGCUGAGGCGCGAAAGCUAGGGUAGCAAACGGG
rnacentral:rRNA from 1 species